CAAACACACAUGCAGGCUCGCAUGGGUGAUGACAAACUUUUGAUGUGGCUGAUUCUGCAUGAACAAGCCACAGAGAUAAGGCCCUGAAAGAACACCACAAGAGAUUAAAAAACUCUCCAUGUGCGCGCAGCGAUUGCUAGGUAAAAUCCGCACUGUGAGUUAUCAUCCCAUCCAGCCUUUCCAGGUAUCAUGGAGAGUUUUGAUGCAUUUUUGGAGAUUCUCAUGGGCCAUGAUCUAAGAUGGCAAUCGCUGACCCUUCAUCUGGCCAACUCUGUCCAGAUCACACUUGGAAGUAUAACCCUCACCCUAUCCACUCAGGAGACUUUGAGAAUCUGCCAGAGAGCCACUUCAUGGAGCUUCAGAGUGUGCCACAGGUUCACCCGUCCAGCGUGCAGCAGUGCUUCAGUGAGAUGGAGUCCAGCCACUUUCUUGACCCCAGUCUGCCUGGACCCCACCUUGCUCUCUCCCCGCCACAGGUGAGAUUUCAUUAACUGCACCAAUUCUGCUGCAAAGCCAACAAAGCUGGGGACAGCAUGGUGGAUGGUCACAUUAUAUCAUUUCACCAUACAUUUCCAUUAUGUUUGAGAGUCAUAAUCAUUAUGUAGAUUAACAAGGUUGACCCCUUAAAUGGCCAAGGCCCACAAGCAGGCCCAAAGUUUUAUUGCAUGCUUCUAUAAUCUAACAAUAGCUCAGCCAGUUUGCACUGAAGUCCCUGUAGUUACUGAAAAAUAAGCCUUAGUAUGUAAUAAGCCUGUAAUUCAGCACCUCUUUUGGCGCUCUAUAUGGUACAACAAAAAUUAUAUUGUUAGUUUUAUAUAAUUUAUGUGUUUUUGCCAUUUUUACCCUCACACUCAUUACCGCAAUGUGCCAAGAUAUUUGUUUUUCAUUACUGGUAUUUAUUUUUUUUUUAUGUUUAAAUUAGAAAAAUAGAGUUUGCAUUACUUUUAACUUUUACAUUUUGGAACUUUGAUGGUUGCCUUUUAAACUGUAAGGAAGCAAACUGAAAGCAACAAAACAUUAUGUGGCACAAGCAAAUGGAAGUCACUGACUGUCAGUGGCUGUCAAUGUGUUGUAGUAGUGAGAUAAAAUUAUAAAAUACUGUACUUUGUAAAAAAUAUAUACUUUAAUAAAGCCUUCCUAUGAAAAGAAAUGCUUCCAGUUUCACUGUGCCACAAUAAAGUAAGAAGAAUUUGGUCAUUUAUACUGGAAAAUGUUACUAAAAAUCUGAAAAAUAUCUUAAAAAGUCAAGUUUACUUUAAAUGACAUAACAGACAUCAUUGUGUAUAUAUCCAAAGAAAAAAGCAACAUUAAGUUUUAACCAUUUUGAGAUUAAGUUGGGUCCCAGUGUUUGUCAUGUUUGUGAGAAUCACCCUUUUGAGAAUGGCUUCUAAAAUGCAGAAAUUAGAGGAGCCCUAAAGUCUUCUAAAGUGGCACCAAUUAUUCCUUCAUCCUACGUUAAAGCUUGUGGAAUGGCAGGCAGUAUGGAGGUGGACAGGAAGAAGCGUGUUGGCUGAGUUGUCUCUGAUUGGCUAUUGGGGGAGGUGACACUUCGCGUCUGUUCUAACUGAGUAGUUAUAAUCCCCACCUGACAUCACCCUAAAAUCAGGAACCAGCAGCAGACUCACACACAUACCCAAAAAUAAAGAAGUAACAAACAGAAAGCCCGAUCCUUUUGGUCACGCUUGCUGUUAGGCUAACGUGCUACUUGCACUGUCUCUGUAGCCACUUUCUUUUAGGGGCCCUGGGAGAUAGCUGUGUGGCCCCCACUGGAUAAGGUGCGUGCUUCUGUGUGUGUGUGUACAAGAUCUUUGGUUUCAUUUGGUAAGAGGAAAUUUCGAGUUGUGCAAUGGCUCGGGGACAGUUUUGAAAGCCAUUGAGAAAGGGUUAGCGCAAAGAGCUAGAGUC
ensembl:lncRNA